AAGACAGUCCAUUUCAGCCCAGGAAUCUGCAGUGGUGACAAGGACAUGGGACUCCUCCCGCCAGAUUACUGUUGGUUCAAUACAAUUGACAUCCUGGCUGACAACUGUGAAAAGGAACCUUGGGUUAUUUUAUUUUAUUUUUGUGGAACACCACAAUCUCAGAUCCGUAGGACACAUCAGGCUUCAAGUUCCCUGUAGAAUUCUAAAAUAACCUUUGCUAAUGAGGAUGUCUGAUAUUGUUAUUAUAAAAGAUGAAACUGAAACAAUGAAGGAUUUGGAGGCAGAAAUGAGAGAUACAACCAGAGUUGAAAAUCUUAUCAAAUCAGAAAACUAUGGGAAGAUUUCGGCAGAGAAGAAUGAACAUUGUAUUGACAACAAUAUUGAUUUGCAGGAGAAAAUUCAGAUACAGUUAACACAAUCAUUUGAAAAAGAGGAAAAGCCCUCAAAAGAUGAAACAGAUAAA
rnacentral:lncRNA from 1 species